rnacentral:rRNA from 1 species
GAUGAACGCUAGCGGGAGGCCUAAUACAUGCAAGUCGAACGGUAAGGUCCUUCGGAUACACGAGUGGCGGACGGGUGCGUAACGCGUACGGAAUAUACCUUCAACAGGAGAUACCUCCGGGAAACUGGAAUUAAUACCCAUAGUAUUAUAGAUUCGCAUGAAUUUAUGAUUAAAGCUCAGGCGGUUGAAGAUUAUCGUGCGUCUGAUUAGGUAGUUGGUAGGGUAAUGGCCUACCAAGCCAACGAUCAGUAGCUGGUCUGAGAGGAUGAUCAGCCACACUGGAACUGAGACACGGUCCAGACUCCUACGGGAGGCAGCAGUAGGGAAUAUUGGGCAAUGGAGGCAACUCUGACCCAGCCAUCCCGCGUGCAGGAAUAAGGCCCUAUGGGUUGUAAACUAGCUUUUAUUAGGGAAGAAAACUUACGAUUCAUCGGAGCUUGACGGUACCUAACGAAUAAG